rnacentral:rRNA from 1 species
UACGUAGGCAGCGAGCGUUGUUCGGAGUUACUGGGCGUAAAGCGUGCGUAGGCGGUGUCUUAAGUUUGUUGUGAAAUCUCCCGGCUUAACCGGGAGGGUGCGGCGAAUACUGAGAUGCUGGAGUGCCGGAGAGGUAAGCGGAAUCCUGGUGUAGCGGUGAAAUGCGUAGAUAUCAGGAGGAACACCUGCGGUGUAGACGGCUUACUGGACGGUAACUGACGCUGAGGCACGAAAGCGUGGGUAGCAAACAGG